GCCAGUGUGGUGUAGUGGUUAGCGUGCUGGACUAGGACCUUGGAGACCAGGGUUCAACUCCCUACUCAGCCA
rnacentral:tRNA from 1 species